GAAAUGCGAUAAGUAAUGUGAAUUGCAGAAUUCAGUGAAUCAUCGAAUCUUUGAACGCACAUUGCGCCCGCCAGAAUACUGGCGGGCAUGCCUGUUCGAGCGUCAUUUCAACCACUCAGGCCCUGGUGCCUGGCGUCGGGGCUUCUUAUAGAUCCCCUAGAAUCAGUGGCGGACCCGCCGCGGCUCCGAGCGUAGUAGUAAAAUAUCUCGCUAUGGAGGCCCGUGGGGGGCUUACCGGCCGUAAAAGCUUUCUCUCACUAGAAAAUUCUCAAGGUUGACCUCGGAUCAGGUAGGAAUACCCGCUGAACUUAA
rnacentral:misc_RNA from 1 species